rnacentral:rRNA from 1 species
UAAGUAAGCGGGGGAAAAGGAACUAAAUAGGAUUCCCUCAGUAAUGGCGAAUGAACAGGGAUGAGCUCAGGCUGGAAACCGAUACAUCUGUGUCGGGCUGUAGCCUGCAGGCAUAGCGCUAUCGGCGGCUCGAGCGCAAGCCUCUUGGAAUAGAGCGUGUGCCCGGGUGAGAAUCCUGCAUUUCGCUCGAUGUCCGCUGUCCACAGUGCUUGUCCUGAGAGUCACGCUCCUCGGAAUUGGAGCGUAAAUCAGGUGGUAAGUUUCAUCCAAAGCUAAAUAGAAGCUCGAGACCAAUAGCAAACAAGUACCAUGAGGGAAAGAUGAAAAGGACUUUGGAAAGAGAGUUAAAAGUGUUUGAAAUUGCUGAGAGCGAAGCGAACGGAGCCACAUGUCGUGCUGAGAUUGCUGUGGGUCUUUGUGAGCCUUGAGCAUGUAAGCGCAAGCUGACUGCUUAUGUGUGAGCAUUUACCCGCAGUGUUUCUCAGCAUGCGAGUCAUUAGCCACAUUUGUUUGAGGAUGGCCUUCAGCUCACAUGGUACACUUGUUAGUGUUCCUCUGUGCGGUGUGGGACUCAGACAGGUGUGGCUUGUUGACCCAGUGGUUUUUUUCGACCGCUCUUGAAACACGGACCA